rnacentral:rRNA from 1 species
AAUAGGUUAAAUAGCCGCUUUUGUGCUAAGGUAGCAUAAUAAUUUGUCUUUUAAUUAAAGACUAGAACAAAAGGUUUAACAUCUCAAUUAAUGUUUCAUAAAAAAAUAUUUAAAUUAUUUUAAUUGUAAAAAAACAAUUUUAAAAAAGAAAGACGAUAAGACCCUAUCGAACUUUACUUUAGUUUAACUGGGGUAGUUAAUUAAUUAUUAUUUUAAUAUAAUUAAAUAUUUAAUUUGACCUAAUAUUAUUAAUAAAAUAAUUAAGUUACCGUAGGGAUAACAGCGUAAUAAAAUUUUUAAGACCUUAUUUAAAAUAAAGAUUGCGACCUCGAUGUUGAUUUAAUAACCUAAUUUACGCAAUAGUUCAUUAAGGAAGUCUGUUCGACUUUUAAAAAAUUACAUGAUUUG